rnacentral:rRNA from 1 species
AAAAAAGGGAAUUCCAAUAUAUGUUUUCUGCUUUAUGUGCGCAUCCUCUACCUAUUAAGUGUUAAUUAAAUUAAAGGGUUUCUUUUUAAAAUCUUCUAUAACUAAUAAAAAAAUAUGGAAGAUUUUGUUACUUUGAGUAAAUUAGAGUGUUCAAAGCAAACAGAUAUAUAGCAUUUGUGCGUUUGAAUACUACAGCAUGGAAUAACAAAAUUGAACAGGUCAAAACUAUGUUUCUUUUUUUUUAUUUUUGGCUUAGUUACGAUUAAUAGGAGUAGUUUGGGGACAUUUGUAUUCAGAUGUCAGAGGUGAAAUUCUAAGAUUUUCUGGAGACAAACAACUGCGAAGGCAUUUGUCUAAAAUACUUCCAUUAAUCAAGAACGAAAGUUAAGGGAGUGAAGACGAUCAGAUACCGUCGUAAUCUUAACCAUAAACUAUACCGACUAGGUUUUGGAUGAAAGUAAAACAAAUAAGGAUAGUCUCUUCGGGGAUAGUUCUUAGAUUUCUUCCUUCAGUACCUUAUGAGAAAUCAAAGUCUUUGGGUUCUGGGGCGAGUAUUCGCGCAAGCGAGAAAGUUAAAAGAAUUGACGGAAGGGCACCACCAGGCGUGGAGCUUGCGGCUUAAUUUGACUCAACACGGGAAAACUCACUAGUUUAAGACAAGAGUAGGAUUGACAGAUUAAUAGCUCUUUCUUGAUUUCUUGGAUGGUGAUGCAUGGCCGUUUUUAGUUCGUGAAUAUGAUUUGUCUGGUUAAUUCCGAUAACGAACGAGAUCUUAACCUGCUAAUUAGCAGUAAGUACAACAUAUUUCUAUGCUGAAUUUGUAUUUGGAUAAUUUAAAAGGUUUUUUUGCCGUGCAUAUAAUGAGUACGGAAAAAAUGCAUACUGCUACCUUGUACCUAAUAAUACUUGGCGCCUAUGCAUAUUUCCAACCCUCUAUUCCCUGUACCGCAUAAAACUGGAUUAUGAUGCCAUUUCACUUUUAUGUAGAAAUGUAUU